UUUCAAAUUUAAAAAUACUUUUCUUCCUUAUUUGAAAGAUCCUACAACACAAAGAUGUCUGGUGUAAACUCCCCCCAACUAUUGAUUGGGCCGGCACAAUGUUACACGGGCAUUCAUGUUGAAAACCUUAAUUUGGCUAGUGUAAAUUUUUUGCAUGACGGUAAACCGAAGUACUUGAUCAUUAUUCCUGAUCGGUACAGAAAACGUUUAUUAAAACCACUAAAAAAAAGCUGUACCCGGAAGACUAUAAUUAAAAGGAUAAAGGUAGAAAAUGUGACCACUUCGAAUGUCACAAGAGCUUGGUGAUGCCACAAGUGCUGAGGGCGGCUGACCCACCAAUUCCGUUUGAUUGUAUCAAACAAGAAGUCGGGAAAUAUAUGACUUAAAAUUUCCUGGUGCCUACCACAUGGUUGUUAAUAUAGGGGAAACAAUUCAAACACCUCAAUGGAGACACAACAUGACUGAAGCUGAUAUUCCCGAGAUUCGUACUUAUUUUGGACUAAGUUACACAGAAAUCACGUACUUCUCACUCGAUUCGGGAUAGUUUUAAGAAAACAUCUUCGAGAAAUGUUAUAUUUAUUUAAACAAAUUACUUUUAUGUUUUUGGUAGAUGGAUGCUCUGGAUGAAGAUAUUUUAGCUCUUUUCUCCCGGCGAGCUGUUAAAAUUGCGGCUUGUACUCGUGGAGUUAUGCAUCGUUUGCAAAUAAAUAUGCUACAACCAAAGGCGAGCAAAAUAUUGUCAGUGUCACCGACCUUGUCUCAGCACAUUUCAGGAGAAUGCUGUAAGAGAAGUAUGGAAAAAAAUGUAUACCGAAGACGAUUCUGAAACACGUUUGGGUGUUUGUAAAUUGCUCAAUGAUGAGAUCAAGAUUUUAGUGUCCAGCGAAGGAAAACUGAUUGAUGAUUGAUUAUUGAUUGACUCAUUAUUCAUACUAAUUCUCAUUAUGUUAUCCCCGAGACAAUUUACAUUUUGUUUUGGGUUCGAUUCCUUGACAUGUAAAUAGAUGUUGAAAGCUCCGUGACGGUUGUGCGUGCAACGGUGCGACAGGAAAAUUCAUUUUGUCGUGAUUUUUUGACAGGUUCGAGCCCGCUCGGCUCGGCGCAUCAAAAAGAAGUGGGAGACCUCACUUUUCUGUAUUGGUCUCCCUGCCCCCACCCUCUAGCGGCUGACAUAAAACAAAAAAGUUACAACACAUAAUGACAUCUGGGGGUCAUGAAUGAAUAAAGUAAAGUGCUGGCAGCAGUCGCAAUAUGUAACCUCUACUCUGGCACGUCCACACUCCCCUUCUUCCGCCCACUCCCCUGUCCUGGGUGGGAGAAAGCUGUCACAAUGCCUUACGGCCGAAUACUACAGCCUGCCUCUACCACCUCCUCCUAUAGAGUGGUUCAAGGUUGCCAUAUUGGAUGGUUAUAUUCCCAUCUUUGGGACCAUAGCCUACUAUAAUCACGGCCAGACAUCUGGCUAUCUCGCCGUUACCGAGAAGCCCCGCCUACUCAAGAUCACGUGCUUGUCUGUGAUUGGCUGUACCCCAAAAUCGUUUCCAUUUUCCACGUCUUCUUUCCAAACUUUUAAGUUCCUUGAAGUCGUCUUGCAUCGUGGUAUGGUCAGAGUCGAUGGAAAAUAAGCGAUUGGCAGCCUAGUGGGUAU